CAUAUAGAAGACAAUGAAACCAAUAUGGCCUCUUAAGAAGAAUUGUGGAAGAAAAAGCAAAUAAUAUAACUAAAGAUUAUUGGGUAUAUAAUUUCAACCCUUGACCUCAUGAAAGACAUAAAUGUGAAUUGCACCAAGAGCUAAAGAAACUGAAGAAACAAAAAAAUGAAAGAAAAAAUUAAGAAUAAGUGGGAUAUGAAGAAGUGGCAGAAUGAUCUGUAGCAGAAAAAUCAAGUUUGAUAAUUUAUAAGGAAAUAAAGAAAGAACUGUCAGAAGAGAAAAUAUAUGACAACAAGCCAUAUGGAGAUACAAAAUGUUCAAUAUGUGAUUGGGAGAUGGAAAAUUUAAAUCAUUUUUUGUUGUGGUGCCCUGAGGAAAUAAGGAGAAAAUCAAGAGCUUUGCAAAGACCUUAUAUAGAACCAGAAAACAUCAUCAUUGGCGAUCUACUGUUUAAAGAAGAAUGGAUAGAAGAAGCCAAGAAAAUAGUGUAUGAGAUGUGGAUGAAAAGAGAACACCAACUUGACGUUUUGAGAAGAGAAACAAGAUAGGGAAGCUCCGUUGCAAAGGCUAUGCUUCCUGACCAAUGAACCUGAGAGCUGAACCCGAGCUACCCGCAGAGAACGGGACCCGGGCCGCCAUCAACAGCCACGUACAGGAAGCAGGGCCCAUACAUAAGUCUCCGUCUCCAGGAGGCUAGCAGGGCUGAUGUGAGUUCUGUGGGCAGUGAAGCCAAGUGGGGAGAAGACGAGAGGAGAAUACCCAGUGUUUGAAGGAAGAGGUGACAUAAGCGACUAGAAUGAGCACAGAGAGGUAUUGAAUCCAGGCACCUUUCAAAAGGAGUGCCAGGCUCGGGAUGUACCAAACAAGCUGGGGAGGGUAGCGGAGAUGCAGAGUGAGCGUGAAGGAAUCCCCACCUGCUCCAGUCUUCUGCACACUGUAGGUGUUGGUCAGCCUUGUGGUUACUGCAAUACAAGCUCCAUUACUGAGCCAAGAUGUUGUCCAGCCUCCAGUCAGCUGCAGAGACAGAAGUGGGCAUGGCAGGUUUGUUGUAGACAUCGUAGGUGCCAGUGGGUGGUAAGGGAGUCCGCUGGUUUAGAGUGAGGUCUCCCCAGGUGUGUACAGCAGCCAGAGGUACUCCAGAUUGGUACUGGAUGUGAGCCAAACCUUCCAGAACUACCUGGUUUUGCUGCAAAAAUGCAAGUCGAAUGAAGCCCACUGGGACCCAAGAGACAAGCCAAAACACCUACUGAAUGCACCUCAAAGCAUUCGAGAAAGGAAGGCAUACUACAUCCUGUCACCUAUCACUCUGCAAAGCUGGACCUUCAUCAACGGCGUUACUCAACCAUCGAAAAGGAGCAACUCGCUAUUAUAUCAGCCAUCUAGAAGCUUGAGCGCUACCUGUCUCCAAGUCCAGCACCCCACAAAGUGUUCACCGACCACAACCCCCUCACCUUCCUGGACCGUAACAAAUUCUCCAACCAACGACUGCUGAGAUGGUCCUUAUACCUUCAACCAUUCAACCUCCAGCUGCAUCACAUCAAGGGCUCCGACAACGUCAUCGCCGAUGCCCUCAGUCAUCCCCCUCCGCCCGUCACGACACCACCACUUCCCUGAGGUGUUGUCUUUAAGGGGGAGGUGUAACGACCCUUCAGGGCGUCCGCUCGAGGGUCCUUUCAGGUGCUCAUCACAACUCUCCACACUACUAACAAGCCCCAACCAUCAGCACAAAGACCCCGACACCUCGAGACCUCAACACCUCAAUUCCAGCUACUGUGUCGACCACAACGCUUCGACACCUCAACACCUCGACCGAAGCAAGCCGGGCUUCAUCGGAGGCCAUAUAUAUAUCCCGGCCGCCAGUGAGAGUCAGUCUAAUCUUACACGACUGUUAAGUGCUACCUCUAACUGGAUUUGCUUCACACGGCGACAUCACCUUGGCAGUGAAGUAGAAGGACAGAUACCCGAGGAGGAUACGUUACCUAUUGUUGCUUGUUUCUUGUUUCUUUGUUUUCCUUGUCACUAAGGGUUACAACAUUAUCAUACCUGGGUUAUAUCUUUGCUUUGUUUCAAAUUAAGUUUAAGUGUAAUAUAAGUAUAAUUAAGUAUAAGUGUUGAAUUUAA